ACGGAGGGUGCGAGCGUUAUUCGGAAUUAUUGGGCGUAAAGGGUGUGUAGGCGGCCGGUCAAGUCAGAGGUGAAAGCCCAGGGCUUAACUCUGGAAGUGCCUUUGAUACUGUUCGGCUUGAGUUCGGGAGAGGAAAGCGGAAUUCCGGGUGUAGAGGUGAAAUUCGUAGAUAUCCGGAGGAACACCGGUGGCGAAGGCGGCUUUCUGGACCGAAACUGACGCUGAGACACGAAAGCGUGGGGAGCAAACA
rnacentral:rRNA from 1 species